rnacentral:sRNA from 1 species
GGAAGAGCUCAAAUUUAUAAUCUGGCACCUUCGGUGUCCGAGUUGUAAUCUCUAGAAAUGUUUUCCGCGUUGGACCGCACACAAGUCUGUUGGAAUACAGCGGCAUAGUGGUGAGACCCCCGUAUAUGGUGCGGACGCCCAGCGCUUUGUGAUACAUUUUCGAAGAGUCGAGUUGUUUGGGAAUGCAGCUCAAAUUGGGUGGUAAAUUCCAUCUAAAGCUAAAUAUUGGCGAGAGACCGAUAGCGAACAAGUACCGUGAGGGAAAGAUGAAAAGCACUUUGGAAAGAGAGUUAACAGUACGUGAAAUUGUUGGAAGGGAAACGCUUGAAGUCAGACUUGCUUGCUGAGCAAUCGGUUUGCAGGCCAGCAUCAGUUUUCCGGGAUGGAUAAUGGUAGAGAGAAGGUAGCAGUUUCGGCUGUGUUAUAGCUCUCUGCUGGAUACAUCUUGGGGGACUGAGGAACGCAGUGUGCCUUUGGCGGGGGUUUCGACCUCUUCACACUUAGGAUGCUGGUGGAAUGGCUUUAAACGACCCGUCUU